UGCUUUUAGUUUAAUUUAAAAUGUAGAUUUUGUAAAUCUAAGAUAAAAAGCAA
rnacentral:tRNA from 1 species